UGAGUACGAGAUGCUACGGCAUCGAAGCAGUCUAUGCCAUACUUCCAAGAAAAGCUUGCACUGUCAUAAACAAAGAAUGCCUGUACCAUAACCGACACAGGUGGGUAGGUAGAGUAUACUAAGGGGCGCGAGAUAACUCUCUCUAAGGGACUCGGCAAAAUGACUCCGUAACUUCGGGAGAAGGAGUGCCUUAUUUCUAAGGUUGCAAUAACAAGAUCCAAGCAACUGUUUACCAAAAACACAGGUCUCCGCUAAGUCGUAAGACGAUGUAUGGGGGCUGACGCCUGCCCAGUGCCAGAAGGUUAAAGAAGUUGGUUAGCAUUAGCGAAGCUGAUAACUGAAGCCCUGGUGAACGGCGGCCGUAACAAUAACGGUCCUAAGGUAGCGAAAUUCCUUGUCGGGUAAGUUCCGACCCGCACGAAAGGCGUAAUGAUUUGGAUACUGUCUCGGAGAGGGGCUCGGUGAAAUAGACUUGUCUGUGAAGAUGCGGACUACCUGCACCUGGACAGAAAGACCCUAUGAAGCUUUACUGUAACUUGAGAUUGAAAUUGGACUUUAUUUGCGCAGUAUAGGUGGGAGGCGUUGAGAAUAAUCUUGCGGGAUUGUUGGAGCCAUCAGUGAGAUACCACUCUUGUAAUGUUAGAUUUCUAACUUUGUAUCAUUAUCUGGUCAAAGAACAGUUUCAGGCGGGCAGUCUGACUGGGGCGGUCGCCUCCCAAAGGGUAACGGAGGCGCACAAAGGUUUCCUCUGAACGGGUAGAAAUUGUAUCUAGAGUGUAAAGGCAUAAGGAAGCUUGACUGUGAGACCUACAAGUCGAGCAGGGACGAAAGUCGGUCUUAGUGAUCUGACGGUGCUGAGUGGAAAGGCCGUCACUCAACGGAUAAAAGUUACUCUAAGGAUAACAGGCUGAUCUCCCCCAAGAGUUCACAUCGACGGGGAGGUUUGGCACCUCGAUGUCGGCUCAUCGCAUCCUGGGGCGGUAGUCCGUCCCAAGGGUUGGGCUGUUCGCCCAUGAAAGCGGUACGCGAGCUGGGUUCAGAACGUCGUGAGACAGUUCGGUCCAUAUCCGGUGUAGGCGUUAGAAUAUUGAGAGGAGCCUUCUCUAGUACGAGAGGACCGAGAAGGACAUACCUCUGGUGUACCAGUUAUCGUGCCAACGGUAAACGCUGGGUAGCUAUGUAUGGAGUGGAUAACCGCUGAAAGCAUCUAAGUGGGAAGCCCACCUCAAGAUAAGUAUUCUCA
rnacentral:rRNA from 1 species